rnacentral:rRNA from 1 species
UACGGGGGGAGCAAGCGUUGUUCGGAUUUACUGGGCGUAAAGGGCGCGUAGGCGGCCACCGCAAGUCGGUUGUGAAAUCUCUGGGCUUAACCCAGAAAGGUCAACCGAUACUGCGGGGCUAGAGUGCAGAAGGGGCAACUGGAAUUCUCGGUGUAGCAGUGAAAUGCGUAGAUAUCGCGAGGAACACCUGCGGCGAAGGCGGGUUGCUGGGCUGACACUGACGCUGAAGCGCGAAAGCUAGGGGAGCGAACGGG